GUCAGUAUGGCCGAGUGGUUAAGGCGACAGACUUGAAUCAUACGAGUCAUCUGUUGGGCAUCGCCCGCGCAGGUUCAAAUCCUGCUGCUGACG